CAGUCGCCGCGGGAAUACGUAGGGUGCAAGCGUUAAUCGGAAUUACUGGGCGUAAAGCGUGCGCAGGCGGUUCGUUAAGACAAAUGUGAAAUCCCCGGGCUUAACCUGGGAACUGCAUUUGUGACUGGCGGGCUAGAGUAUGGCAGAGUGGGGUAGAAUUCCACGUGUAGCAGUGGAAUGCGUAGAGAUGUGGAGGAAUACCGAUGGCGAAGGCAGCCCCCUGGGCCAAUACUGACGCUCAUGCACGAGAGCGUGGGGAGCAAACAGGAUUAGAUACCCCCGUAGUCCCUGUCUCUUAUAC
rnacentral:rRNA from 1 species